rnacentral:rRNA from 1 species
UACGAAGGGGGCUAGCGUUGUUCGGAAUCACUGGGCGUAAAGCGCACGUAGGCGGAUGUGUCAGUCAGGGGUGAAAUCCCGGAGCUCAACUUCGGAACUGCCUCUGAUACAGCACGUCUUGAGUCCGGAAGAGGUGGGUGGAAUUCCUAGUGUAGAGGUGAAAUUCGUAGAUAUCGGGAGGAACACCAGUGGCGAAGGCGGCGAUCUGGGAAGAUACUGACGCUGAGGUGCGAAAGCGUGGGGAGCAAACAGG